rnacentral:rRNA from 1 species
UACGGGGGGAGCAAGCGUUGUUCGGAUUUACUGGGCGUAAAGGGCGCGUAGCGGCACCGCAAGUCGACUGUGAAAUCUCCCGCUCAACUGGGAGGGUGCGCCGAAUACUGAAUGACUAGAGUGCGGGAGAGGAAAGUGGAAUUCCUGGUGUAGCGGUGAAAAUGCGUAGAUAUCAGGAGGAACACCGGUGGUGUAGACGGCUUUCUGGACCGUAACUGACGCUGAGACACGAAAGCGUGGGUAGCAAACAGG